rnacentral:rRNA from 1 species
AUUGAACGCUGGCGGCAGGCCUAACACAUGCAAGUCGAACGAGUGGCGGACGGGUGAGUAAUGUCUGGGAAACUGCCUGAUGGAGGGGGAUAACUACUGGAAACGGUAGCUAAUACCGCAUACCAUCGGAUGUGCCCAGAUGGGAUUAGCUAGUAGGUGGGGUAAAGGCUCACCUAGGCAACGAUCCCUAGCUGGUCUGAGAGGAUAACCAGCCAAACUGGAACGGAGACCCGGUCCGAACUCCUACGGUAGGCAGCAGUGGGGAAAAUUGCACAAUGGGCGAAAGCCUGAUGCAGCCAUGCCGCGUGUAUGAAGAAGGCCUUCGGUUUGUAAAGUACGUUCAGCGGGGAGGCGUUACCCGCAGAAGAAGCACCGGCUAACUCCGUGCCAGCAGCCGCGGUAAUAC